CUACGUGCCAGCAGCCGCGGUAAUACGGAGGGUGCGAGCGUUAAUCGGAAUUACUGGGCGUAAAGCGCACGCAGGCGGUUUGUUAAGUCAGAUGUGAAAUCCCCGGGCUCAACCUGGGAACUGCAUUUGAAACUGGCAAGCUAGAGUCUCGUAGAGGGGGGUAGAAUUCCAGGUGUAGCGGUGAAAUGCGUAGAGAUCUGGAGGAAUACCGGUGGCGAAGGCGGCCCCCUGGACGAAGACUGACGCUCAGGUGCGAAAGCGUGGGGAGCAAACAGGAUUAGAUACCCUGGUAGUCCACGCUGUAAACGAUGUCGAUUUGGAGGUUGUGCCCUUGAGGCGUGGCUUCCGGAGCUAACGCGUUAAAUCGACCGCCUGGGGAGUACGGCCGCAAGGUUAAAACUCAAAUGAAUUGACGGGGGCCCGCACAAGCGGUGGAGCAUGUGGUUUAAUUCGAUGCAACGCGAAGAACCUUACCUACUCUUGACAUCCAGA
rnacentral:rRNA from 1 species